UAGGGAAUCUUCGGCAAUGGACGAAAGUCUGACCGAGCAACGCCGCGUGAGUGAAGAAGGUUUUCGGAUCGUAAAACUCUGUUGUUAGAGAAGAACAAGGACGUUAGUAACUGAACGUCCCCUGACGGUAUCUAACCAGAAAGCCACGGCUAACUACGUGCCAGCAGCCGCGGUAAUACGUAGGUGGCAAGCGUUGUCCGGAUUUAUUGGGCGUAAAGCGAGCGCAGGCGGUUUCUUAAGUCUGAUGUGAAAGCCCCCGGCUCAACCGGGGAGGGUCAUUGUAAACUGGUAGACUUGAGUGCAGAAGAGGAGAGUGGAAUUCCAUGUGUAGCGGUGAAAUGCGUAGAUAUAUGGAGGAACACCAGUGGCGAAGGCGGCUCUCUGGUCUGUAACUGACGAUGAGGCUCGAAAGCGUGGGGAGCAAACAGG
rnacentral:rRNA from 1 species